GGUUGAUCCCGCCGGACCUGACUGCUAUCGGAUUGAUACUAAGCCAUGCGAGUCAUUGUAGCAAUACAAGGCAGACGGCUCAGUAACGCGUAGUCAACCUACCCUAUGGACGGGAAUAACCUCGGGAAACUGAGUAUAAUGCCCGAUAGAACACUAUACCUGGAAUGGUUUGUGUUCCAAACGAUUUAUUGCCGUAGGAUGGGACUGCGGCCUAUCAGUUUGUUGGUGAGGUAAUGGCCCACCAAGACUAUUACAGGUACGGGCUCUGAGAGGAGUGGCCCGGAGAUGGGUACUGAGACACGGACCCAGGCCCUAUGGGGCGCAGCAGGCGAGAAAACUUUGCAAUGUGCGAAAGCACGACAAGGUUAAUCCGAGUGGUUUCUGCUAAAGGAACCUUUUGACAGUCCUAGAAACACUGUUGAAUAAGGGGUGGGCAAGUUCUGGUGUCAGCCGCCGCGGUAAAACCAGCACCUCAAGUGGUCAGGAUGAUUAUUGGGCCUAAAGCAUCCGUAGCCGGCUCUGUAAGUUUUCGGUUAAAUCUGUACGCUCAACGUACAGGCUGCUGGGAAUACUGCAGAGCUAGGGAGUGGGAGAGGUAGACGGUACUCGGUAGGAAGUGGUAAAAUGCUUUGAUCUAUCGAUGACCACCUGUGGCGAAGGCGGUCUACC
rnacentral:rRNA from 1 species